GAUGAACGCUGGCGGCGUGCCUAAUACAUGCAAGUCGAACGGACGGACGAGAAGCUUGCUUCUCUGAUGUUAGCGGCGGGCGGGGGAGUAACACGUUGAUAACCCACCUAUAAGACUGGGACAACUUCGGGAAACCGGAGCUAAUACCGGAGAAUAUUUUCAACAGCAUGGUUGAAAAGAUAAAUACGGUCUUGCUGUCAGUUUUAGAGGGUGUCGGGUUGCAUUAGCUGGUUGGGAUGGUAACGGCUUACCAAGGCAACGAUGCGUAGCCGACUUGAGAGAGGGAUCGGCCACACUGGAACUUGACCAGCGUCCAGACGCCUACGAGAGGCAGCAGUAGGGAAUCUUCCGCAGUGGGGGCAAGCCUGACGGAGCAACGCCGCGUCAGUGAUGAAGGUCUUCGGAUCGUAAAGCUCUGUUAUUAGUGAAGAACAUAUGUGUAAGUAAAUGUGCACAUCUUGACGGUACCUAAUCAGAAAGCACCGGCUAACUACGUG
rnacentral:rRNA from 1 species